rnacentral:lncRNA from 1 species
CUGGGAGUCAAGGUUCUGCCAGCAAGUCCUGAUAAGUCGUGAAGCUGGCAAAAGGCAAGCUGCCCUGACUUGAUUUCCUGAGUUCUGCCCAGGCCACUUUGAUUUGCCCAGUAUGGAGGUGGAUGGAGGUUCAGAGAGACCCAGCUCCUUCUAAUACAUCGAUCUUCAUCUGUGGGAAGAAGCAGAGACCUCCUAGCCUCCAUCAUCUGGGCCCUUUACUGGUGGGCAUAGGUAGAAGGGGCUCAAAAAAAGUACUCUUGGCUAACAUAAAUAAGAAAAUACAAGAAGAAGAAAAUAAGAAAUAAUAAUAAUAACAAAUAGAGGCAUUAUGAUGCCCUAUUCAUAGUUGGAGGAAGUAAGUAGAGAAGAAAACAUACCAGAAAACAUGGCUUUGUGAUUUACUCUCUGGGUGAUCCUGGACACAUUGAUUCACUUCUACAGGGUUCAGUCUUAUCAGUUAUAUCAACCAAUCGAUCAAGCAGCAUUGAUUAGGUACUUAGUAUAGCUCAGUCAUUGUGCUAGGCUCUGGAGAUAGAAAGAAAAAAAAUGAAAUAAUUCCUGCACCUGAGCAGUAGACAGAAUGUUCUGUCUGGAGUCAGGAAGACUUGGGUUCAAAUUCCUCACUGUGUGACCCUGAACAAAGUCAUUGCUUCUUUCUGCCUCUCUUUUCUCAACUAUAAAAUGGACAUGAGUAGCUAGGCAGUGCAGUGGAUAGAGUACCAGCCUGGAGUCAGGAAAACUCCACUUUUUGAGUUCAAAGCUGACCCUGGUAAAAUCCCUUCACCCUGUUUGCCUCAGUUUCCUCAUCUGUAAAAUGAGCUGGAGAAGGAAAUGGCCAACCACUCCAGUAGCUUUGCCAAGAAAAUCCCAAAUGGGGUCAUAAAGAGUCUGGCAUGAAAGAAAACAACUGAACCACAAUGGAAAUGAAGAUAAUAAUAAGAUCUACCCCACAGGAUGGUUGUGAAGAUCAAAUGAGAUUUUAUCCAAGGAUCAAAUUAUCUGUAAAUUGAUUAACCUAAUGCUUGGCAC